rnacentral:rRNA from 1 species
AGCUCUAAUAGCGUAUACUAAAGUUGUUGCAGUUAAAAAGCUCGUAGUCGAAUUUUGGUAUGCAAGUGAUGGUCUGCCCAAUGGGCGUGCACUGUCUACUUCGUACUUGUCUUCUGGGGACCGCGCUGCUCUUCAUUGAGGGGCGUUGGAACGCAGAUCUUUUACUUUGAAAAAAUUAGAGUGUUCAAAGCAGGCCAACGCAUUGAAUACAUUAGCAUGGAAUAAUGGAAUAGGACUUUGGUCCUAUUUUGUUGGUUUCUGGGACCGAAGUAAUGAUUAACAGGGACAGUUGGGGGCGUUUAUAUUGCAUUGUCAGAGGUGAAAUUCUUGGAUUUAUGCAAGAUAAACUAAUGCGAAAGCAUUCGCCAAGGAUGUUUUCAUUGAUCAAGAACGAAAGUAG